rnacentral:rRNA from 1 species
CCUACGGGAGGCAGCAGUGGGGAAUAUUGCACAAUGGGCGCAAGCCUGAUGCAGCCAUGCCGCGUGUGUGAAGAAGGCCUUCGGGUUGUAAAGCACUUUCAGCGGGGAGGAAGGCGGUGAGGUUAAUAACCUCAUCGAUUGACGUUACCCGCAGGAGAAGCACCGGCUAACUCCGUGCCAGCAGCCGCGGUAAUACGGAGGGUGCAAGCGUUAAUCGGAAUUACUGGGCGUAAAGCGCACGCAGGCGGUCUGUCAAGUCGGAUGUGAAAUCCCCGGGCUCAACCUGGGAACUGCAUUCGAAAGUGGCAGGCUAGAGUCUUGUAGAGGGGGGUAGAAUUCCAGGUGUAGCGGUGAAAUGCGUAGAGAUCUGGAGGAAUACCGGUGGCGAAGGCGGCCCCCUGGACAAAGACUGACGCUCAGGUGCGAAAGCGUGGGGAGCAAACAGGAUUAGAUACCCUAGUAGUC